GGUGGAUGCCUUGGCAGUCAGAGGCGAUGAAGGACGUAGAAACCUGCGAUAAGCGUUGGGGAGCUGGUAAACGAGCUUUGAUCCAACGAUUUCCGAAUGGGGAAACCCAUCCGUCAUAAGACGGAUAUCCUGCACUGAAUACAUAGGUGUAGGAAGCGAACCCGGAGAACUGAAACAUCUAAGUACCCGGAGGAGAAGAAAACAAAAGUGAUUCCGAUAGUAGCGGCGAGCGAACUUGGAAUAGCCCAAACCAGCAUUGUUACGGCAAUGUUGGGGUUGUAGGACUGCGAUAUUUGAGCUAUAAUGAAUUAGAACUGUUUGGAAAGACAGGCCAAAGAAGGUGAUAGCCCUGUAUAAGUAAAGAUUAGUAAGAUAGCAGUAUCCUGAGUAGUGCGGGGCACGUGAAACCCUGUAUGAAUUUGUCGGGACCAUCCGAUAAGGCUAAAUACUCCUGAGAGACCGAUAGUGAACUAGUACCGUGAGGGAAAGGUGAAAAGAACCCUGAAUAAGGGAGUGAAAUAGAACCUGAAACCAGCUGUCUACAAGCGGUCGAAGCCUUCGGGCGACGGCGUGCCUUUUGCAUAAUGAGCCUACGAGU
rnacentral:rRNA from 1 species